ensembl:lncRNA
UGGUGUGUCAAUAUUGUUUUAGGACCACGUGAAGCUAUUUGGAAAUCAAUAUGUAAACGUUUUUAUGAAGUGAGCCAUACGUCAAAUGAGAAAGGACAAAAGGAAUACAAUUGGGAAGAAGAAAAUACAGAGUGUCUGUUUAUGGCAUCACUUAAUACGUCUGUUUUCCUCUAGGCAAAGUUUCUUUAUUAUUGUUGAUGUGAUUCUUUUUAUUCCAUUUUCUGUACCACGAGCAGAGUGCAGGCGGAUUCUUUACCAGCUGAGCCACCAGGGAAGCCCAAGAAUACUGGAGUGGGCAGCCUAUCCCUUCUGCAGGGGGUCUGAACCGGGAUCUCCUGCAUCGCAGGCGGAUUCUUUACCAGCUGAGCCGCUGUAACUAUGGAACCUAAAUAGCUUAUAGAUGGUGCAAAAAACGACCUUUGCAAACCCAAACUGCUGCUGCUGAUGGUGUAAUUGCUUCUGGGAAUCCAGUGUGAGAAUCUGACGCAGAGAAGCAUGUGAACAGUGAGCGGUUUCACCACCAUUUCCCACACUCGUCCACACUGUGAUCCACAGGCUGCCCUGAGACACGUCCUUGCGUUUCAAGCAUCUUUGAAAACCCCAGCUUGCCCACCGCCAGUUUCCUUUCAGACCUCUUGAUUUAACACUUUGAAGGGGCCGGACUAACCUGCCAUCUACAAAGAAAGAGAAUGAAUUCCGCCUAAGAGACACAAAUCCUCUGGAAUGAUCCUUCACCUGACAGCUCUCCAAACAACUGAAGCGAAAGCGUCACAUACUCGGCUGUUCUGACUCACUCACUGAGAGAGAGGAGCACUUCUGGGCAAACUCGGAUGAUUUCUGACUUACCUGUUUGUUCAGCCUCUCAGACUCGUGCUACAAUGACCCCUACUCAGCAGGUGGCCACGCGGCUCCCUGGAUGCGGCCUUGGGCUCGAGCUAGAAUGGGGCAGAGGUCCCCACGGCAGUGUCCCCUGG